GUUUAUGGCCAUUCCAUCCUGAACAUACCCAAUCUCGUCUGAUCUAGGAAGCAAAGCAGGGGCGGGCCUGGUUAGUACUUGAAUGGGAGACCACCUAGGAAUACCAGGUGCUGUAGGCA
rnacentral:rRNA from 1 species